UGGGGUGGAAGGAGUGUGGUGUGCGUAAAUAGAGUAGAAGUGUUUAGAGUGGAGUAAAUGGUGUGGAAGGAGGGUGAGCUGAGCUGGUAGGUGUCACUCAGAAGGGUGAAGUCGGAAUGUGGGUUCUAGCAGAGUUGAUUGGACCAAAUGAAGAAGGAAUAUUGCAGUAGAAGGAUUGGGGAUUAAAUAUGGGACAGAUGAAAAUGUGGGAAACCAGUAGGGCCCCACUUCAAGCAUUGGGACGUUUGGAGAGACUCCAUCAGCCCCAACAAUUCAACAACGUAUGCUUCUGUUCCCUGGAGUUUAGAAGAAUGGACGGCAGAGGGGAUGAAAUGAAAGAGAGAGAUGGUUAAAAUGCGUUCAGCUUAGAAGCUGCUGCCUGGAGUAACGGCGAAUGUGUCAGGUGCCCAGGACUCUACCAACCAGCCACUGACCUUUCCUUCACAGGACACGUACGGGGUCUUCCCUUCUCCAGAUGGCUCAAUUCCGUCACACGAGGCUGGUGGGAAUAGUCUUGGAGAAUCUCUACAGUGUGGUAGCAGGCCAAUCCACCCCAACCUGCACAUCCCUGGACACCAUGGAACAAUUUAGCAUGGCUAAUCCACCCUAACCUGCACAUCUUUGGACUGUGGAAAGAAACCAGAGCACCCGGAGGGAACCCACGCAGACACGGGGAAAACGUGCAAACUCCACACAGAGGGUAGAAUCAAUCCCAAAUCCCUGGCACUGUGAGGCAGCAGCACUAACCACUGAGCCACCGUCUCACUAACUCACCUUGUUCAUCUUGACGAGGAUGCAGGGUUUCCCUUCACUGUAUCCAUACGUCUUGUCCUCUAGCCCCGAGCACUUGCCCAGCAUGGUCCGGUUGAAUUGGCAGGACCGCUUUGGGGUAUUCCGAACGUCCCCGCUGUCCUCUUGCAGGUAAUACGUCCCUGGCUUGCACUGGACAUUGUUUGUAACCUGGACGCUGUCAUUAUAGGCUGGAGGAGCACAGAAAGGUUCACCAUCAGAUGUCUGACCGCUGGAAGACCACCUCUUUCCAAAUGUUGGAAUGCUGUGUACAAAGAUUAGUGAAGGGGGCACUGAGCUAUACUUCGGGGUAAAUCCUCUUCCUUGUGUUGGGGUUGACCUGAUGAAGGAGCAGCAUUCUGGAAGCUUGUGAUUUCAAAUAAGCCAGUUGAAUAAUAACCCAAUGUCCUGUGCCUUCUGACUUUAUAUUUAAGAUAGUGUAAUGGGUAUUAUCACUCGAUUAUUAGUCCCGAAACUCAGCUAAUAUUCUGGGGACCCCAGGUUCAAAUCCUGCCCUGGUAUUGGUGGUGAAUUUCUUUUUUAAAUCUGGAAUCCAGAAUCUACUGGCAACCAUUAAUGAUUGUCAGGAAAAGUCCAUCUGGUUCACGGAUGUCCUUUGGGGAAGGAAACUGCCACCCUCACCUGGUCUGGCCUACAAGUGACACCAGACCCAGAGCCAGUGUGGUUGGCUCUCAACAGCCUUCAGAAAUUUCGCAGCAAGCCGCCUAGUUCAAGGGCAGUUAAGGAUGAACAAAAGAUGGCUAAGCACAUCUCAUGAGUGAAAAAUAAAGUCCUUCUGUCCACAUCACCUUUCUGUCCACUCGAGUCAGAAGCUUGCCUCAUAUUAGAGAGAGGGAUUGCUGAUGAUGAAUCUACUGAAGGCAGAAAGUGUAGGCCAAAUGGCCUCCAUAAACUUCUAGGAUCUUGUGAUAGGCUUGGCAGUGAAAAGGGCCAGAGAGUGAAGAGGGGUAAAGCCCGUGAGUGUUGCUCGCAAGGUUUACUCACAGUCCAGGUACGCGUCGAGGGCUUGGACAUGUG